CUUCGUAGUAUAAACUCCUUUAUUUUGAAUUACGGUAUUACUAAUAACUUAACGCGAUACGAGAAAAAUGUUUCAACGUAGCAAAUUAAAUUUAAAAAUUAUUUCACCGGAAUAAUAGUUUCAGGAAAAGAAUUCAAGGGACAACGACAAGUCAAUAACUCAAUGCAAAUAACCCGACCUUCAUGACUCAAGGAAACCCGAAAUACAAAUUAUCAAGUCUUAAAUGAAUGAACUAGGAUUUUCUUAGUAUUCAGCUAUAACCAAUUCUUAAAUGAAAUGUAAAACCAUCAGAUAAGUACAGUCAAAGAGAAAUACAUAAGCGCGCGCACACACACACACACACAUACACACACAUACACACACACACACACACACACACACACUCUGAUGCGAUGCACAUCCUGAUCUCAACAAUCCUCCCUUAUUCCCCCUCAACAAUUACCAUAAAGUAAAUAGUAUAUAUUUAUUGCGGCGUGCAACCCGAUCCCAUCAAUCCUCCCUUAUUCCUCCUUAACAAUUACAAUAAGAGUAAAUAGUAUUCGAACAACCAUAUCAGUAACAACAUGAUCAUUCUCCCUUAUUACUCCUUGUUGCAGAACGCAACCCGAUCCCACCAGUCCACCUUUAUUUUAUAUCACCCUUAUUUAUUUUGUUGCAGCGUGCAACCCGAUCUCACGGUCUACCCUUUGUACUCCUUGUUGUAGCGUGCAAUCGAUCAUACCAAACAACAUCAAUUCUCCCUUAUUCCUCUUCAACAUAUCAACAACUCAGCAUAGUCUAAAAUCAACAACAACAACAACAACAAUUCAACAACCCAAUCAGAAAGGUUACUACCACCAAGAGUAUGAAUACACAGCAACGAGAGAAUCACAAAAAAACCAAGAAGCAGAACAGCCUUUACAAAAAACAACAAGACAUAUAAGACACAUGAUAAUUACAUCAGCAACCACAACAAUUUAGACACAUAGCAUAAGGCACGGGGUCAUAGAGGAAUUUCACAAUUAAGAAUAACAAAACAAUGAGGACAACUACUCUAAUUAAGGCAAUUAAAGGCCAAGUAAUAAGUAAGAAUUAGAGGAAAGUUAACAACAUUGUAUGGAGCAUAUAGAGGUAAAACAAGCAAUUAGGAAACACAAUAAUAUUGGAAAACUUCCCUCUUAAUGAACAUAUGGACCUAAGAACCAGAAAUGCAAAGUUUCCACAAAUAAGUCCGAGCACAUACUCGUCAACUCGCGUGCACGAACUACAAACAUUGCAGCUACGAACAAACACUUCUAAAUCAAACAGAACCAGAAAUAGAUCAAAUAAUGAUUUUGCUAAGCUAUCGAUGCAUGACUCGUCAUCCCAGAACUAACGUUUGAAAACAAAAUAGCAAACAAAGAGAGAAUUUAAAAAAUUACAUUGAAGAAAGGAGCAAGGUACCAGGUUCUAACAGCGGAUUGACGACUUCAAAGAAAUCAAUGCCUUAGGAGGAUCCGAUAAGCGGCGAAAAUUGUAAUGCGAGAAUUACCUGGAAUUUCUCCGGAGUUUAAUGCUUCAGAUCACAAUCUUCGACACCUAUAUUGAGAGUGAGACGAGCCAGAACGUGGAGCAUGGAUUGCUUGGCUAAAAUAGGCUUCCAUGAGGGCCUGGAAUCUUGAUUGCAUGACCAACUGAUCCCUCAUGCUAGUAUCAAAAGAAGUGAACAUCAGAAAAACACGAAGGAAAUCGGAGAAGAGGAAGCCAACCCAGAUUUUCUACCUUCCGAGAUUCAAGAUUCAUGGGAAUCGAGCGACAUUAUAACAAAACUAGCAGUGGAUUUGGAAUGGGGAAGCAACAAGGAUUAUAGGGUCAAAUUUUGACGAGGUUUGGAUCUUGAUCCCCGACGACCAUGACUGAAUCGCUCAGGGACGGCUCAGUCUUGGUGAAGAAGAUGAGAGAAACUAUUGCUUUGUUCUUUC
rnacentral:lncRNA from 1 species